rnacentral:rRNA from 1 species
GACGAACGCUGGCGGCGCGCCUAACACAUGCAAGUCGAACGGAGCUUAGAGAGCUUGCUUUUUAAGCUUAGUGGCGAACGGGUGAGUAACGCGUGAGUAACCUGCCCUAGAGUGGGGGACAACAGUUGGAAACGACUGCUAAUACCGCAUAAGCCCACGGUACCGCAUGGUACUGAGGGAAAAGGAUUUAUUCGCUUUAGGAUGGACUCGCGUCCAAUUAGCUAGUUGGUGAGGUAACGGCCCACCAAGGCGACGAUUGGUAGCCGGACUGAGAGGUUGAACGGCCACAUUGGGACUGAGACACGGCCCAGACUCCUACGGGAGGCAGCAGUGGGGGAUAUUGCACAAUGGGGGAAACCCUGAUGCAGCGACGCCGCGUGGAGGAAGAAGGUUUUCGGAUUGUAAACUCCUGUCGUUAGGGACGAUAAUGACGGUACCU